rnacentral:tRNA from 1 species
ACUUGGCUGGCUCAGUUGGUGGAGCAUCUGGCUGUAAAUCUCAGGGUUGUGAGUUCCAGCCUUAUGCUUGGUG